rnacentral:lncRNA from 1 species
GUUAAUUAUAUUCUCAGAUAUGAAUUUAAUAGUAAUAUUAAUAUAUAUAAUAGUAAUAUUAAUUCAAUUAUGCAAGAAGGAUCUAGCAUGCAUUCUUAAAUAAAUAAAAAAGGAUUUCUUAUUCAUAAAUUGAUUUAGAGCAGAGACAUCUAUCGAUUGAUCGGCAUUAAAAGAGGAAGUAUGAGGGUGGCGGAUAUUCGCGACCCUGGCGCCACUUGCGCGGACUCCAACGGGCUUAACGGUUUUUCUGAAGAUCCUGGUAGGAUCAAGUCUUUGACCUGUAUACGUUUCUACGAUCAUCUCGGAUAAGUAUGUACCCUCUUUUUCAAAAAAUAUUACUAUUAUUGAAGCCCCAAAAACCUAAACUUAUUCUUUCACGAAAACCAGAUAUCAAUUCUUUGAUUUGAAUUCUAACUGAUAAAGUACUGGAACGUUCAUAUUUGAAACAAUGAACAUAUGACUGGGAGGAAGUUUUACAACAUAGAUAUGUCUUCUGAGAAGCUUUAUCGGUUUCGGAUGAGUCGACAAAAAACAGAAUCGAAUUGUUUGUUUGAAUGGAUAAGCAUACACAGACGGUUACAAUUCGCAUGAUAAAUAAGUCGUUCAUAGGAUAAAGUGAAUAACUUCACUAUUUUAAAAUUUUUGAGAUUUUAAUGCCAAAGUAUUUGAUUGGUGCUUUAGAUUGCGGAUUUUUAUACAUUAUAUUUUUGGGAAUAUGAUCAAAAACCCAGACUCGAUAGACAACUGUUGUACCUACCAAAUGUUAUACAAAGAACUAUAUUUUAGAUAUCUUAUAUAUUUUUUCAUAUUAUGUGUACUUUGUGCAAAUUUCUUGUAGAUGCAUAAAAAUCUACAGCUUAUUUAUAUUGUGUAAUUUAUCAAUUUUGUCUAAUUUGUGUUUAGUGGCGUUAACUGCCUUGACAAAUAAGCGGUUCAAAUAAUAAAUGCAGCAUCCACAAUGAUCAGCAAUGUAGGUACACAAAAUAUAAUUAGAAAAACCAAAUGAGCUAUAUUUCCAGUAUGGACCUCUAUGAAUGAAAAAGAGAAAAGCGUGCUACGUGAAUGGAGCUAAGAAUAAACUACGUCUAAAUUCGAACAUAUAUAAAUACAUAAAGUAAAGGAAUACUAAGAACAUUCUUAUCGCUAAUGUGAUAAAUAUUGUUUUCUCCUUGGUUACUCUCUAAGGUCAUGAAACCUAUUUGUAAUGAUACCGUUGUCCACUAUCAUUUCUCUUACUAAUUACAAAAUCGCAAUUAAUUAUACAUUUCUUUUAUAGUAACGGUAAAAAAUUCUUAAAUGAAUAGUAGUCGAUGAUAAAAAUAAUUGGAUGGAAAAGUUUACUCCUUGUUUGUGCAACGAGGAUGAGUAACAGGUAUGAGACUCUCGAUGACACAUGCUUAAUCGUGGCACAAAACGGUUAAGUUUCACAGGGAAAAUAACACUAAUACGGGCAAAUUAAAAUCGUCGGUCCAUUCUGUAUUUAAUGCGAUACGCAUGAACUGAAGAUGCAGUAGAAUGAAACAGAAAGAGACAAAUAGGACGCACACGGCAAACGGGCUAACAAUGUGCACGUGUCGCAUUUACACCGACGGAAGAAGCGAGAGAGCACACACAUUAACUACGUAGCGAAGAACCGGCGUGUGCUACCUGCGCCUGAAACUGGCCUGGCAGGCACAAGGGAACGAAUAGCGAUGGGUAUUCUGUUUCUCAUCGAUGCAACUCUUGAAAAAGACACGAUACUUUCGUUGGAAACGCUCAAUUGUUUUACACGCAAUUACAAUUAUAUUUAAUCUUGCUGUUCUCCUCACACCUUCCUUAGAUAUAUAUAUAUAUUAGAAAUCUUUAUUCAUAAUAAAUGUGGAAUAUACAAAGCAAUACCAAAAUCAAAUAUUUAAGUAGUAUCUAUACUUUAAUAAUAUUUAGUGAAAUAUAUAUAUAUAUAUAUAUGUACCUGAAGAGAACAAGAUUAAAAUCAGGGAAUUUCCAAAACUUACAUCUUGUAAGCUACUAACUCAAUACAGAUUUUCAAUUAUUCAGUAAUUUAAAUUCGAAUUUACAAUAUAUAACUUUUCAAAGUCCUUUGUGAUUUCCUAGAGUUAGAGAUGCAACUGAAGAAAAAAUUUAACGACAAUUGCUAUAUAAAAUCGAGAUGUGAGAAAUGGAAAGAAAAAG